rnacentral:sRNA from 1 species
CUGUGGUGCUUGAAUGGGAGAUUCUGAACAAUUUGAACCUUAAACUCCCUGUAGCUCAUUUAUCUGACUGUUUUGACACUAACGUUACUUCUUCACGAUAUUAUCGUUCGGGUCAGAGAUGUACCUGCUCAGAGGGUCACGGUAAUAAUCCCUAUGUUGACGGAGGUUGUUCAGACUAUCAUCAGUCCAACCGGAAUUCGCUAAGUCACACGACAAUAUCUCUCACAAAAGGUAUGUAUGAAGUGGUUAAUAAUUAUUAUAUGAUUAUCUUAGGAAUAUUUAUUAUCUUUAUAUUUAUAUUAA